rnacentral:siRNA from 1 species
UGAACUUUCAAGAAGACAUU